AAAAACAGUCUGACUGCUGCUUUUUGCUGACAGCCAUUCACGUGUCUCUUCAGGACAGCUCAUGAAUCUACUUGCACCUUCUUAGCUCCCAGAGGAAGCAUUUGUGAUGUGUGUCCAUGCCCUUUCACACUGCCAAAACUGCUACACAGAGGUGCUGGACAAGAAUGUUCUAAACAAGACUCAGCCAAGGCAUCGCAGCUGUGCAAAAGCAAGCCUUGGGUCACAGGCAGCCGAACAUCUGGGCUGGCGUUUAGCAUCUGAAAGUUAGCUGUAUAUUUUCACCAGAACAAAGGCCUGGAUAUAUGCAUUUCAUCAGCCAUCUACUUUGGAGAGGAAUGGCAUAAAUUUCAACACAUCUGCUAUUUUUGCCUGCAAAAUAUUCAAAAUUGUUUCUGCAGAAGCUACGGGCAGCAGUGGGGGACAUUUAUUUAAAGAAACUUGGAACAAUGGAUCACUAGUGAUUAAAAUAAAAAUGGAAAUUACAUUCUGGAUGUAGGAGGCAAAUGAGUAUUGCAUUUACAAUACUCUGGCAUUUAGCAUGUAUGAACCAUCAUUGAAUAGUUGCAUUUUGGAAAUUUUGAAACCUGGUUGUCUUUUGAAAAAUGCAGAUUCAAGCUUCUCAUUUUAUGCUAAUGUGAAGAGGUGAAGGAGAAUACCAGUUUGUUGAAACAAGUGAAUUAGCAUGUGAAUGGGGCGUAUUGGACUUCUCCCUCUUGAAACAGAGGCUUUCAAAGUACAAAGUAGGAUUUAAAUCUCACACUGUGAUUUUUCCCUUCUCAGAGCCCCUAAUCAUGUUACUUGUAGUGCAUUAAUAGGCUUUGAGCCUGUACCCCACUGACUAGAGGUGCUGUCAUUUUUACUAAUAGCCAUAAUCUACAAAUCUUGCAAUCAAUGAAACAACCUGUUUUCUCUCCCCCUUCCUAAUUCUUCUUUUGGGUCUCACUUUCAGUUUUCAGGACUGAUGGUUAUGAAAACACUUCCAAAGUAAGAAUGUGAAUGGCAAACCAGCCUGGACUCUCUCCUUCCUCAUCAAAUCCUUUUUUUUCUGAGGACUGCACUGUCAGCCUUGCCAGAGAGGUUUGCCUUCAGUGCUGAUUUACUCCUUGCAAAUAAGAUGGGCUUGUAGCAAUAUAUUGCUGACAAAGCUAGACUGCAGUGACACAGGAGAAUUAGUGCUGCCAAAGGGAAGAGAUUUGGGGAGGUAGUUUCAGGAAUGUUUCCAGCACCUGGGUGAAUAAAAUCUCACAGCUCAAACAGCCUAAUCCCAUACUGCAACAAGUCAAGCCACCUUCGACAGACUCUAUGACAUUUUUUGCUCAUGUGAAGUAAAAACUCAGGAAUCUCUACUGUGAUUGAAAUUCCCCAACGCAAGUAAAUUUCUGCCUUCCAAGAUCCCCUCCUUCCUCUUUCUCACCUCCAUUCCCCCAAAUUAGCCAUGGUAACAUGACCUGCUUUUCAAAUACCUGCUUGUAUUUGUGCUAUGGAGUGCACGUUUGCCUUCCUUCAUUGCAUUGUACUUGCCUCUGACUAAUGAUUAAAGCAAAGCAAAACCAUUGCAGUUGGUUCGAAGUGCCUCCGUUAGCAAAGAAGAGAGCAUGCCGUAAGUAAUGACACCAGAGCUGGACCACUCUGGGCUGCUCUCAAGCAAAGUCCUGUAAAUAUCACUUGGCAAGAUGUUCCCUGCCUCUCCCAGCCUGCUUUUAUUUGCAAUUAUAUUCACAUUAUUUUCAACAUAACAUUGUAUUUGACAAUAACAUGAUGCUUUGAUUUUAGUUCUCUUAUUUUUUGGGGUAGUGGCUGUCUUAUGAAGUAACACUAGUCUGAGCUCUGUAGCAACUGGAUGUGCCUACUGCAAUAUCAGAGAGUGGUGGCUAACAUCCAGUGGUGCUACACUGCCAGUUGGAAAGGUAGCAGGAGGAGCAGUUAUAUCAGGCUGCUUUAAAGGCUGUAAGACUCUUCCUUCUGCUGGCAAUGCCAGUGUUUGCCCUUCUGACUAAAUCACUGACUCUUCGAUGCAAUAGCUGCUUUGCUCCAUAGGGGGAAGGUAACUCACUCAGUAAAACAGUGUUUAAGAUUAAAAAGGUUGUUAAUUUUUGAUUCUUUUUAAAAUGGAUGUAUACUUGUCUUAUUGCUCUGCUGGGCAAUAAAGGUUUCCUAAGCAGUUCAGUGAAAACCUUGAUUCAUACAGGAUUGGUAUUGGUGCUACCUUGUACUGAGAUGUAGUGUCUCCCAAAAGGAUUUAUCAUAACACACCUGUAAUCUCCUCAAGAGAAGGCAAUUUAGGUGGUAGCUGGUGGAAAAGACCAUGCCAUUUUUCAGUUGAAGUCACCCUGACUGUCCUUUGAUAGUAAGUGGUGUCACAUUCCCUAAUCAGCUUUACUGUCUGCUGAUUUCAAUGAACUCUAUGUCUGUAAUGGAGAAUCAGAGAGCCACUGCUGUAUUUACAGCAGAUAAGAUCCUAUAACAUGGCUGAACAAGUCUCAUGCUGAAAAGAGUGGCUCUACAACCCCUCUGGUUCCUUUGCAGCUCUAGAGAGGAUCUGUAACUUCUCUCCACUGUUUUGAUAAUGAGCAGGAAGUCGAACCACUUCUGUUUCUGCAGAUUAGCUCCCUAAAGUGGCACAGCCUGAGGCUGGGUUUGUGCCCUCAGCUGGGCAAGGAAACACACCUGGGAAAGGGAUGGGGGAGGUUGGGCAGCAGCUGAAGUGUUUGUGGGAAGGUGUGAGCCUGAUACAGACAUCAGCUGUACUUUCCACUUGCUGGACCUGAUGUUGAAAAUUAGCUGGCGUUGCAAAGUCCAGCCAUUGCAGACAGCACACCAUGACAACUCAGGACUGGCCUAUCCAUUGCCAUUAACUGCUGGGUGCCCUUGGAUUCUUAAGCCUGAGCAUUAGAUAGACAGCUGAGUGACUUUUGGCUGGGGUGAGGAUGUAGAAUCUUCCUCAGAGCUGUCUCAGCUUCUUAGCUUCCUUGAAAUAGUUUCCCAGGAGAUGUAUUAAUCUGUUUUUAUAUAUCAUGAAUGCUAUUCUUAGGAGCUACCUUUGAUUUGUUCAGUGUGGCAAGGCAGAAUACAGAGCUGUAUUGAGCUGAAUGUUUUAAGUGCACUAUUCCCCCACACACUGCAAGCACACAUCCUUACACAGACAUGCUUCACUUUUGUCUUUGUCUCUAUGUGAACCUACAUCAAGUCAUAAAGCUUGAGUGGAAUGUCUGUGUUUUACUAAAAGAAAAAGAAGUCUCUGUGAUAUCAUAUAUAUGGCCAGUGUAUUGGGUUUGCAUGGUGAGGAUUUUGUAGUGGCAAGGCUCCUGUAAGCUUCUGGGAAAGCCUAGAGAACCUUCCCCACGUCCAGCAGAGCUCCAAGAUGGACCUGCUGUUGGGCAGGGCUAAGCCCAUCAGCAAUGCUGAUCAUGCCACUGAGGUAAAUUUGUAAGAACAGGGGGAAGAAACCUAGUCUGGGAACAGCAGCAACUGCAGGUGGAGGAAGGAGCGAGAGAAACAGCCCUGCACACACACCAAGGUCAAUGAAGGAGGGAAAGGAAGUGCUCUAGGCAGAGAUUCCCCCGCAGACAACGGUAGGUCAGCUAUCCCCCUUUAGCCCAUAGAACACAGUGGUGGAGCAGAGAUGCACCUGCAGGAUCCCUUGCUGGAGCAGGUGGAUGCCCAAAGAAGGCUGUGACCCUGUGGGAAGUUGGCCCUGGAGCAGGCUCCUGGCAGGACCUGUGAAGAGCAAAACCUGCACAGGAGCAGGUUUGCUGGCACAAUUUGUGACUCCCUGGGGGAUCCACAUGGAGCAGCCUGUUCCUGAUGGACUGCACCCUGUGGAAGGGACAGCUGGAGCAGCUGGUGAGGAACUGGAGCCCACGGGAAAGACUCACAUUGGAGAAAUUCAUGGAGGAUUGUUUGCUGUGGGAGUGACCCCAAACUGGAGAAGGUGAAGAGUGUGAGGAGGAAGGAGUGACAGAGACAAGGUGUAAUGAACUGACUGCAGCCCCCAUUCCCUGACCCUCUGCACCUGGGGAGGAGGGUAGAGAAUCUGAGAGUAAAGAUGAGAUCAACAAGAGGGGAAUGUGUGUGGGGUGAAGGUGUUUCUGCAGAGAAGUACAGGUCAAAUUUGACAAUUUAUCUUAUAUGGAAAUGUGAGCCUCAAAACCUGUGCUCCACCAUGGGUAACAGCUGUAGCUGUCCCUUUGAGGAGAGCCCCUUGAGGUACAGGGUAUAGAUAUCUAGGUUUGACUAUGAUGCAGGUUCAGCUAUGAGUGCACCUCAAGGGGAAUCUCUGCACUUUUUUCCUUUCUUCUCACUUACAAAAGUUACCUUGUAUUUAAUUCCCAUUCAUUAUGCAUGUGUGAGAUCAUACUACCAGAAGUCAGUAUACAUCAAGGGGCUAAGAGCUGGCAAACAUCUGCUGAACACAACUGCAAAUGACUUCUAAAGGCAAGCAUUCAGCAACCUUCAAAAUUAGAAUGACCUGUGCUCUUCAUUCUGCUUUUCAGUGUGUCUAUCACAUGCCACUCCAAGCUGCAGCUGAGAAGAAAGGCACUGAACUACACAAAUGUGUUUUUCCCAGUUAUCAUCUUUGAGAAGGCUGUGAAUAGAGACAUGGGAUAUUUUGCCAAAUGGUGCUCCUGGAGAAGUCACCAGCUGUUGGCAGCAGGUCUUCCAGGCUGCUUGACGAAGCCUGAAUGGAGGCUACCACAUUUACCAGGAUCAGGUGCAUGGACAUGCCACAUGAAUAUGAUUCAUUUAAUUCUCCCUUGGACCCUGUAUUUAAAGACAAAUUAAAAGAGAUUCUUGUUUGGCAUCAGUAUUGAGCUCCACUAUAUACAUGGAUUUGAGCAACUCCAAUUGCAGACCGAUGAGACUCCACCUUGUUAAGAGGAACUGGUAAUUAGGGUCAUGAUACAAGAACUCCUGUACAUUGCCUACCAGAAAAGCUUCUCUCUAACCCAAAAUUUAAGUGCUAUUAUAACCCUGACAAGUUUUCUGUUUAGCUUGGGGCUCAUUUGCUAUGUCAGUGUACACAAACAUAACACUGUUUGCCCUCAUCUAGACCAGCCUACAAGCUACAGUGUGCACACCAUUACAGAAAAUCAAGCAAAAUAUGUAUUGCAAAAUAUGUUUACAAGGAAGAGAAACCCCAGAAUCCAGCAAAAAAGCAGUGCCAGCAAGAGGUAUGUAUUUGAAAUCCAGGAUGUCACAAAAAGGUUAAAUAUGAUGUUAAACUUGAGCUAUGUAAACUAGUUCAAUUUCCUUACUGUGCAUUUUAAAAUCAGUACCAAAUAAAAUGAGUAUAUGAAAAUAGGAAUAAUAAAAGCUUAUUGGUUGGACAAGUGCAGGAAAAUGUUUUUAACAGAAAAAUUGGAGAAACUACAAUAAUUUGUUUAAACUUUACAUGGUCUUAAAUGAAGACUAAAAUACCCACCAAUUCAUGUGUAAAUCUACAGAGUGAAAAAGCCCAGUGGAGAGUAAGAACUGCAGAUUAAUAAAACAUAUCAGGUCAGACAAACGUGGUACCCAAACUCACUGCAAUUGCCUGUGUGUUAUAUAAAAGUAUUCCAGUGCAUGUAAUGCUUAUUGAUUUCAGAAAAGCACUUGAUAUGACACUGAAUUAUAAAACUAGCAUUUGGUGCAUAGGAUACAAGGAAAUAUAAUGGGGUGAAAAGUAGAUUGAUCAAUGCAGAACAACAAAGUGAUGCAUCACUCUUCUCUAAGGGCAGAGCUUCUAUUGGAACAGGGGCUCUUCUCAACCCAUUUUCUGCUGCCAAGAUCUAGAAGAGGAGGCAAUCAGAAAAUGCACUUGUGCUUCCCUAAUAUUGUUUGGUUGGUUGGUUUUUGAGAGGAAAAUGGCUGAUGAUUCAUUACAAAAUGUGUACUUGGGCUCAGAUUUUUCUUUAUUAACUUCUCUCUUGGCACACAGGUUCCUCUGGAAAGUGCAGCUCAGGGGACAGUCUUAUAGGGAAGGGGUUGUUCUGGUGUGGUUCUGUGCCACUCACUCAUAGCUCUGCCUCACUGGUUCCAAUGGUUCUGUUAUGGCAGAGGCAGGACAAAAUAAGGACAUUACUUAAUUCUUUUGCUCUGCAUUUACUCUCAGUUAUCUUGGUGGCAAGAAUUUUCUCUUCUGCAUGCCUUAACAAUUUCAAAAGAAAAUAAUCUAUUAGUUUUUCUUUACACAGGUUUUUUUGUCUAUUAGAGAGUCUGUCCAUUAAGGCUGGACACACAGAUGGUAUCAUCUGAUAAAGAGCCAACAUCAGCUCCAUGGGGGCACCAGCUUUAAUUUAAAGCAACUUACAGAGGACAACUCUGUGAUUGAAGAAAUUGUGGAGUGCAUACUCUAAAAAACCUAAGAUCUCUGAACCAGAUGAACUGGUUGACAAGCCAUGAUAUUUUUGGUUGCAAAGAGAGUAAAGACUUUCUUCAAAUGCCCAGCUCUUAGAUCUGCUGAGUGCAAUCUUUGAUAGUUUCAGAUGGUUCCUUUAGAAAAACUGCUGAACUCUGCUGGUCAACUAACUAGGACGAGAAACAGUAAAUGCAAUGACUACCAGCUUUUGCUGGCAAAAAACUUGGUAAAAAACCUUUAUUUUCUUGGGUAAUAGACAAAAAUGGCUGAAAAUGUAGACUAUGCUAGCAACAAGAGAUAAUACUACAUGCACAUUCCCAAAUUCAAGAAUGAUCAAUCUUCUGAACAUUAUUGGUAACAGUCCUUCCAAAGUUACCCACUGGAGGGCACAAAUACUAGGAAGUGAUAAAUUAUUAAAAAUAAAACCAGAUCCUUUUUGAAGUUCAGGAAAGCUUCAGUAAAGAACCUCAUCCCUUUCUCACUCCAUAUGUUCUCAGUGUGGUUUUGAUCCACUACUUGAAUCUAACCUUGAGAGCAUAUAAUGCCAGGUAGGAAAAUAUAGUGGGGUUAUUGACAAAUAUUAGUACUGUAAAGAGCAGGAAUUUGUAUGAAACAUCAUGCUAUACUAGUUUUUCCUGUUCAGUGCUGAUUUUUCUGUCAUCUUGUAAGAGGUAUUUUAGGAGUAUAAUUUUCUGUGUAAAUUUUCUCCAAAUAACUGUUAUUGGUUAUUAUUAUUGUUCAUGUUUCAAUUGUAUUAUCCCCAUUCUCAGUGAGUGCUUCUGAACUUUAGGAAAUAGGGGUUAUAUUAACUUCAAUACAGGUUUAUUUUUUUGGUAAAAAAAAUUUUUAAAAAACUUAAUGAAUUCCAUGAAGUCAAUGUGUCUAAAAAACACUAAUAACCAUGUUUUCUUGGUUUACAGUUUAGCAUUACUUUCGCCCUCCUCUGACAUCCAUACAAAGAAGUUCAUUAUGCUGAAUCCCCUGCAGCUAGUUUAUAGACCUACUAUGUAUUCUGCAGUGAAAUAAAACAAGCUUUGUUAAGAA